rnacentral:rRNA from 1 species
CAAUAGCGUAUAUUAAAGUUGUUGCGGUUAAAAAGCUCGUAGUUGGAUUUCUGCCGAGGACGACCGGUCCGCCCUCUGGGUGAGUAUCUGGCUCGGCCUGGGCAUCUUCUUGGAGAACGUAGCUGCACUUGACUGUGUGGUGCGGUAUCCAGGACUUUUACUUUGAGGAAAUUAGAGUGUUUCAAGCAGGCUUACGCCUUGAAUACAUUAGCAUGGAAUAAUAAGAUAGGACCUCGGUUCUAUUUUGUUGGUUUCUAGAGCUGAGGUAAUGAUUAAUAGGGAUAGUUGGGGGCAUUCGUAUUUCAUUGUCAGAGGUGAAAUUCUUGGAUUUAUGAAAGACGAACUUCUGCGAAAGCAUUUGCCAAGGAUGUUUNCAUUA